UGAUGAGAGAGAGAGAGAGAGAGAGAGAGAUUGAAGUGAGAGAGAACAUUGGUGGGUUGCCUACUAUAUGUGCCCCGAGUGGGGAUUGAACCUGAAAACUUUCAGUAUGUGGGGUGAUGCUCCAACCAACUGAGCCACACCAGCCAGGGCCCCAUUCUUCUUAUCAGGCCAGGUUGGGCCUUAUUAAAAGUUGGGGCUCUCUCUACAUGUGCCUGGGAUGUAGGGCUCCAACAAGGAGUAGCUCCGGCAUGAACAUGGGGUACGUGUGAGUUGGAAAGACGGAUGUCUGGGAUCAGAAAGGUUUCUAAUAUCUUAUGAGGAGGAAAGAAGAGGCUUAUGACAGAGCAGGUUUCUUGCCUGCUGGGACUGGGCAGCCAUUGCAGCAGGGAGAACAUUCUCCUAAGGGCCUGACUGUGACAAUGGGGGCUUCAGUGUGAGGGUGGAGUUGCCGAGGCUGAGGGAGGGUGCAGGAGUACAAAGGAAGAAAUGAAAGAGGUGGGAGUCCUGCUAGCAGUGAGCCCGUAGACUUCUAACAGAAGUUUUUAUACCUGGUUAGUGACUAUUCCAGACUCCACAAGCACCAUUGUAUGUUUCAGGGGAAAACAGACCUGGACUCUGCCCCAAGCUGCCCGAAGACGCCAUUGGGCUUUGCGCUGAAUUCUGCUCAGGAGAUGAAUCAUGUCCCAGUGGAAUGAAAUGCUGCAGCAAUGGAUGUGGCCAUGACUGCCAACCUGCUAUCCCUGUGGAUGAUGUUGAUGAUCACGAGGAAGAAGAAUGGGGGGGGGUGGUUUAAGCAUGCCUGGAUACAUGAAUCUAAUGCUUGGCAUAACAACACUCUUUAACACAUCAUUCCUGACAGGCGUCUAUCCCAGAAAAUGAAGAUCUACCGUGGUGGUGUCUGAUUCUCAGGAGCUUGUGUGCAAAAUAAAUCUUACCUGUGGCAUUA